rnacentral:rRNA from 1 species
AGUCGAGCGAACACUUUGCUUAGAUUCUUCGGAUGAAGAGGAUUGUGACUGAGCGGCGGACGGGUGAGUAACGCGUGGGUAACCUGCCUCAUACAGGGGGAUAACAGUUAGAAAUGACUGCUAAUACCGCAUAAGACCACAGCACCGCAUGGUGCGGGGGUAAAAACUCCGGUGGUAUGAGAUGGACCCGCGUCUGAUUAGCUGGUUGGUAAGGUAACGGCUUACCAAGGCGACGAUCAGUAGCCGACCUGAGAGGGUGACCGGCCACAUUGGGACUGAGACACGGCCCAAACUCCUACGGGAGGCAGCAGUGGGGAAUAUUGCACAAUGGGGGAAACCCUGAUGCAGCGACGCCGCGUGAGCGAAGAAGUAUUUCGGUAUGUAAAGCUCUAUCAGCAGGGAAGAAAAUGACGGUACCUGACUGAGAAGCACCGGCUAAAUACGUGCCAGCAGCCGCGGUAAUACGUAUGGUGCAAGCGUUAUCCGGAUUUACUGGGUGUAAAGGGAGCGUAGACGGAUGGGCAAGUCUGAUGUGAAAACCCGGGGCUCAACCCCGGGACUGCAUUGGAAACUGUUCAUCUAGAGUGCUGGAGAGGUAAGUGGAAUUCCUAGUGUAGCGGUGAAAUGCGUAGAUAUUAGGAGGAACACCAGUGGCGAAGGCGGCUUACUGGACAGUAACUGACGUUGAGGCUCGAAAGCGUGGGGAGCAAACAGGAUUAGAUACCCUGGUAGUCCACGCCGUAAACGAUGACGACUAGGUGUCGGGUGGCAAAGCCA